CAGCAGUCGCCGCGGGAAUACGAAGGGUGCAAGCGUUACUCGGAAUUACUGGGCGUAAAGCGUGCGUAGGUGGUGGUUUAAGUCCGUUGUGAAAGCCCUGGGCUCAACCUGGGAAUUGCAGUGGAUACUGGGUCACUAGAGUGUGGUAGAGGAUAGUGGAAUUUCCGGUGUAGCAGUGAAAUGCGUAGAGAUCGGAAGGAACAUCUGUGGCGAAGGCGACUAUCUGGGCCAACACUGACACUGAGGCACGAAAGCGUGGGGAGCAAACAGGAUUAGAUACCCGUGUAGUCCCUGUCUCUUAUAA
rnacentral:rRNA from 1 species